CAGCCGCCGCGGGAACACGAAGGGGGCUAGCGUUGUUCGGAUUUACUGGGCGUAAAGCGCACGUAGGCGGAUGAUUAAGUCAGGGGUGAAAUCCCGAGGCUCAACCUCGGUACUGCCUUUGAUACUGGUCAUCUUGAGUCCGGGAGAGGUGAGUGGAACUGCGAGUGUAGAGGUGAAAUUCGUAGAUAUUCGCAAGAACACCAGUGGCGAAGGCGGCUCACUGGCCCGGUACUGACGCUGAGGUGCGAAAGCGUGGGGAGCAAACAGGAUUAGAUACCCCGGUAGUCCCUGUCUCUUAUAA
rnacentral:rRNA from 1 species